GCUGCAGAGACAACAAAAAUGCAAUUUAUCCUACGUACAAUAACUUGGGAGUUAAAAUUUUCUUUUUCUACCACCACUUAGAAAGAAGUUCAAUAUUACGCCUUCGAAAAUGUAAAAUACUCCCAAGAAUGACGUAAACAUGUAACGAGGCACAUGUGCCAGUGCCACCCUACAGUUCUCCUGAGAGAAAGCUUGCCUGCUGCCCCCUUACUGACAGUCUGACCGUGCUUCAACAUUUCUGCUUGCCCAACAGCACAUCUUCUGUCCUCUGCCGGCCUCUGGAGGACCCUGGACUUCUACCAGCAGCUCCGAUUUCCAGCUUCCCCCCGCUUCUGCACUUAGCUCUGUCCACUCAUCUACCCUUCCCUCCCAGCAGGCCAGCUCAUCCCUCAGAUGGGCACUGACACCCUUAAAAGAUGGGUUCUGAGCAGAAGCAAAUGAAUUCGAGGCUCUGGGCUGGAAGAUGGUGUGGUCCCUCGGUCGGGAGGUCACUCCAGUCCGUCAGGGAGCACACCACCAGGUGGAAGAGGCGGGGGCUGCAGAGGGCACAGGCGGGAGCCUAAGCCAGACGGGACUGGAAGGGCUUCCCUGAGGAGAAACCCGAGUAGAGACCCAACAGAAAAUCACAAGUGUACGAACAGUGUACGAGACAAGAACAAAAGUCAGCAACUAAACAAACUGACCCAGCUUCAGGCGUUCGAACCACCCAUGUCUUAACUCUAUGGUUUCACACCUAAGGCCUCCGGUGGUGAAGAGGCUUUAUUUUUACAACUGAGCAGACUUCUACUCCUUCAGUGUUCUGGAAAGGGCCAGAAAGUAAGCAGUUCAGGCUGUACGGUCACACGGUCUCUGUCCCAACUCCUGGGCUCUGCCGCUGACACACGAGAGCAGCCGCACACAGGAUGUAGUCGAGAGAGUGGCCGUGUCCCAGCGAAACCUCACGUACAAACACUGGUGGUGCCGCCACAGCCAGCCAGAGCCUGUGCUGCCAGGGCCCUCCGCACUCCACUCUCGUGCUCUUUCUAACCACAGGAGCCCGACUUUGCUCUUCUGCUCAAACCCCCGAUGACCUGUCACUGCUCUCGGGCUAAAGUCCAGGCUCCCUAGUGUGAACACCAGGGCCUUCCCGCUCCGGUCUAACUUCCCUGCCUUCCCACUCACUGCUCCUCGGCACACAGGGCCUGCUCGCGCCUCAGGGCCUCUGCACCUGCAGUUCCUGCUGCCCGUGUGAAGAAUGGACACCCUCUCCCCUCCAGGCACCUCAGCCAAGGAACGCAGGAGCCUCUAGAAGCUGGAAAAGCUGGGGAACGGAUUCUCCCCUAAAGCCUCCAGAAGGAGCCGGCCCUGCUGACACCUUGAUUUGGUUAAUCCAAUGAGACCUGAGUGAGACUUUGUACAUUCAGCACUAGAAGGUCAUAGCUUUGCGUGCUUUGAAGCCACUGAGUUUGUGGUAAUUUGUUACAAGAGCCCCAAGAAGCCAAUAUAGUCAUACAGCCAGCAUUGGAAAGCCAGGAUCUGCUGCCUGAGGACAACUCUAGAAUCAGUGCUACGUUAUCCUACAUUGGGCUGGGAAAUAAGGAACUUGAUCUGCUACGUACCAGAAUAGGAAAGGAGCAUCAGUUCAUCCUCAUAAACCUAAUUUCUAGUCUUUCAUCCCUAACAUUGUAGUUACCAAACAAUCUCGUAGCACUUGACCUUCACAAAAACAAAAAUUCAUCUGGUUGGGAAAGGCAUAUUCUCAACGUACUGCUGGAAGGCCAUCUGCUACUUGUCCUGGGUUUAAAAUAGGCACAUUCUGACACAGCGUUCCUUCCUAUGAAUUUAUCCCAAGAAAAUAAUCAGACACGAAUGCAAAGCAUUUUGGAAGAGAAGAGUCGCAGCGUUGUUUAUAAUAAGAAAAAGUCAAAAUAAUAAAUCUCCACCAAUAAAGGAACUGACAGCCACCGGCUUCAAGACAAGAAAGAGAUUACCUGGUAUCUUCCAGCGACACCUGACCAGAUUUUUCAUCCACAAUAAUUUUACAGUGAUCUCCAGAGACCAGUUUAUUGCCAGGGAAUGAAAGAUCACAACCUAAAACAGAGAGGGAUACAUUGGAUGUGACCGUGGGGACUGUGCACAAAAGUGCCCUUUGCUUAAUCAAAGCACGUGGUUGAAAAUCAGGACCCAUGGUAUAUGCACGGUGGGAGACAACCUAAUCAAGUAAGAUAGGAAGCAAUUUUUUAAAAAGCAUUUAUGUAUUAAUCCAAAGUAAAGAGACAGGGACUGUCUUGAACCUUUCUGACUCCCCAUUACCUAGAGGAUACCCCCAUAACACCUCUGGCUUCUUGGUGACAAUUUUACAACAUGCACAUAUGUGCAGCUACCCUGAUAAAAGCAGAAGUUUAAAAAAACUAAGGGGCUUAGUUACGUAAUUCUUCAUCUUAUGUCAGUCCUUAAUUUCUUUUCCGUGUAAUCUAAGGUUUCAAAAAUCAUCACAAAAUUGAAGCGAGGACCAAGACUCACAGAAAACAUGACUGAGCAAAUUACAGACACAUGAACACGCUUGAGAAAAUUUAAAACAGAAGGUGGAUGCAUCUACACACAAUGAUCUGAAUACAGUCAUUAUAUCCUCAUUAAAUGCAAGGGGGAAAUCCUUAAAUACUGUGUUCUCUCCUUAAACCAGAGGAAUAAAAGUUUUCAGGAGUUUUUACUAUCUAAUCGUGAAUUUGCUUAUAAGACAUUUAUACUAUAGCUACUAAGGUUUAUAGCUUUAUUUUUAAUAAGUAAAAACGGGAAGCAAUAUAAGUAAGUGUCCAUCAACUGGUGGUGAAUUAAAAAACAAACUGUGGGGAAAAAAACAAACUGUGGUACAUCCAAACAGUGGACUACUACACAGCAUCAAACAGAAAUACAUUACUGAAACACAAAACAGCCUAAAAUGAAUCUCAAAAGGAUUAUGUCAGAGAAAAGAAGCCAUACACAGACUAUGGUGGAAUAUUGUGUGAUUCCACUUAGGUGACAUUCUGGAAAGGCAGAAUGACAGGGAUAGAAAUUAGACAGAUGGCUGCCAGAGCUAGGGGUGAGAGGAGGGGGCUGAUCCAAAGGACCACCAGGGAACUUUCUGGGGUGAUGGAAAUGUUCUGCACCGGACUGCAGUAGUGAUUCCAUUUCUCAACACUCACUCAACACCUAUAACGGGAUGAAUUUUACCAUAUGUGAACUACACCUCCCUAAACCUCAAGUAGUAGAAAUCUUAUUUGCACGUUUUAUAUUAUGGGAAGUGCUUUGCUACAUUUACGCAGGGUCAACUUCCCCUAUGCUCAGGAUCUUCCCAGCAUACUGGGCACAAGAAGCAGGACAGUUUCUUUGCAGCCCCAGACCUAGCCCUAGUGACCGUGCCACUGGGAUGGGAUUUUAACAAGCUUCUCCACACCAAGAACAUGAGCUUUCUAAUUUGGAUCCAAGAUACUCGUGCUAAGUUCUAUUCUUGGCAUCUGCCCUGUAUGUAAUUCACUUGGUUAAAUCUGUCACAUGGCUGGUGCACACUGCUCCCACUCCCCGAGGAUGGGAAGCUCCCUGGGAAACACAGGUCAACUCAGCUCUGCCUUUAUCCUCGGAAUAAUGCCUUAUAUGUAGCAGGCACACUACUGUUUUAAAAUAAGUAUAACCACGUUCUACAACUCUUAAGGAAUGUUUGUGUCUCCCCCAAAUUCCCAUGUUAAAGGCCUGAACCCCCAUAUGACUGUAGGGACAGGGCCUGUAAGGAGGAAUAAAGGUUAAAUGAAAUCACUAGGACUGAUGCCCUUAUAAGAGAAGGAAGUGGAAGAGACACCAACGUUGUGUGUGGCCUGUGAGGAUGAGGAAGUCUACAAUCCAGGACAAAGACUCAGCAAGAAACAAAUUGACUAGCACCUUAAUCUUGGACUUCUUGCACUUAACGACUGUGAAAAAUAAAUUUCUGUUCCUUAAGCUUCCUGGUCUGUAGUGUUUUGUUAUAGCAGCCUGAGCAGACCAACAGGGCAACUUCUAUUUCCCCGGAGAGCUCAAUACAUUCACCAAAAGGUCUUCUUUUUAAGAUUAAUUCAACAACCCCUUUUUGCUCCUCGUAUUAACAUGUAAAAUGAUAUAUAAUACUGUGUUGUAAUAACAAUGGUUAAUGUUAUUUGCUAACUCUAAGCCAGGCUCCUUUAAGCAUUUCCCACAUUUGAUCUCAAUUAUCCUUCAGGAACUCUAGGAAGGACGUACAAAGGAGGUACAAAGUCCUUAGUCCAGACCAAAGAAGCU